rnacentral:rRNA from 1 species
UACGUAGGGGGCAAGCGUUGUCCGGAAUCAUUGGGCGUAAAGAGCUCGUAGGCGGCUCGGUAAGUCGGGUGUGAAACCCCCAGGCUCAACCUGGGGACGCCACCCGAUACUGCUGUGGCUAGAGUCCAGUAGGGGAGUGUGGAAUUCCCGGUGUAGCGGUGAAAUGCGCAGAUAUCGGGAGGAACACCAGCGGCGAAGGCGGUUACCUGGACAGUUACUGACGCUCAGGCACGAAAGCAUGGGGAGCAAAAGGG